CCAAAACAAAAAAGACUCCACAAAUAAAAAGCAAAAUGGGCCCUGGACCAUUGGAAUCGGUCCAAACACAGGGGGUGCGGACUUAGGGGGAAUAUGGUAAUAAUCAACAACAGCAAAUUUGGGCAAAAAGCCCAAAGCAUAUGCAACAAGGUCCCAAGUCUCAGGUUUACCAGGAAUCAUACCUUGAUUUCGUGAGAACAACACUGGGAAGCUCCUCUACCAAACGGCAACGGCACCGACUUGUGCGAGCAUCACCAAAACCUCUCCAAAUUUGACGCGAUCGAUGGUGAAUCGACGGAUAAUUCAACUUAACAUCCGCAAGACUUCGAACGACUCAUGUCCGAUUCAAAGUACCAAUGAAGUCGAAGCCGAAAAUCGAAUUCAAAACCUGUUUCCGCCUACGAAACGGAAGAACAGCUGAAUGAAGGAAGAGCUUCCUGAUAAUUCCGAUGUGGUGGCUAGGGUGACGUGUUUGUGGUUAUUCAACCGUCGCGCUCUUCCGUGGCCGCUCACUCUUAGAUCUACGACGUCAAUGAUGAGGAGCUCGCGAUGAAUGACGAUUAUUAAUGAAGCAUCCGUCGGGUUACCGAUGAGUUCGGGACGAUGACGAAUCAGAGAGUGAAGGUUGUGGUUUGUUGAUGAUGGAUGAUGGAGAAGGUUCUGUUAUGUGGAAGGAUCUGGUUGAAGAAUUGGUGAUCGAAGCAUGGUGAAGGUGGUUCGGUGAACGGAGAAUACGGUUACGGUUACGGAUUCACAAUGGUUGAAGGUUUGGCCAAUGGAGAUUACGGUUAUGGAGGUUGAAGGAAUUGAAGAGAGAAAGUUUGUUACGGUGAUGGCCGGUUGGAAGAAUAAGAAGGAUUGAGAUUGAAGAAACUAUGGGAGGGAAGAAGAGGAAGAAUCCGGAAAAAAUAUUUGAGAGCGGGAAGAAGAAUUUAUAGAGUGAUGUUUAAUUUUUCUGUUGCCGUUUACUUCAUAAUUCAAUGCUAGCUUAUUGCCGUUUUCACUUCAAUCUCCUGUUGCGGUUUCAAUUUAGCCGCUUAGCUCUCUGUCAUGGCUUAUGCAUUUUCACUUGCAAGUUGUUUUGCAGCUGCUGUUUGGCUCACAUUUGGAAGCAUGGUUUGGAUUUUCUGCAGCUUUUGGACCGCACUUUUCUAGCUGAUAUUUGCACGGUGCUUUAGAAAUUUGUUAGCUUGUUGCUUCAUGUGUAGCUCGUAUUGUACAUGGCUUAACAACUUUCAUUUCCUUGUACUGUACUGUAGCUUGUAUUGUAGUUUGCUGGAAAAAUGUAGUUCCUUUCCUUAUUAUUAUUCUUUAUUACUUAAUGGCUAAUGAAAUAAAAAAUGGUUAUGGAUUA